rnacentral:rRNA from 1 species
GACGAACGCUGGCGGCGUGCUUAACACAUGCAAGUCGAACGGAAAGGCCCUGCUUUUGUGGGGUGCUCGAGUGGCGAACGGGUGAGUAACACGUGAGUAACCUGCCCUUGACUUUGGGAUAACUUCAGGAAACUGGGGCUAAUACAGGAUAGGAGCUCCUGCUGCAUGGUGGGGGUUGGAAAGUUUCGGCGGUUGGGGAUGGACUCGCGGCUUAUCAGCUUGUUGGUGGGGUAGUGGCUGACCAAGGCUUUGACGGGUAGCCGGCCUGAGAGGGUGACCGGCCACCUUGGGCCUACGAUACGGCCCAGUCUCCUACGUGAGGCAGCAGUGGGGAAUAUUGCACAAUGGUCGGAAGCCUGAUGCAGCAACGCCGCGUGCGGGAUGACGGCCUUCGGGUUGUAAACCGCUUUCGCCUGUGACGAAGCGUGAGUGACGGUAAUGGGUAAAGAAGCACCGGCUAACUACGUG